rnacentral:rRNA from 1 species
AGCAGCAGCCACGGUAAUACGUAGGUGGCAAGCGUUGUCCGGAAUUAUUGGGCGUAAAGGGAGCGUAGGCGGGUCGUUUAGUCAGAGGUGAAAUCCCGGGGCUCAACCUCGGAACUGCCUUUGAUACUGGCGACCUUGAGUAUGGGAGAGGUAAGUGGAACUCCGAGUGUAGAGGUGAAAUUCGUAGAUAUUCGGAAGAACACCAGUCGCGAAGGCGACUUACUGGCCCAUUACUGACGCUGAGGCUCGAAAGCGUGGGGAGCAAACAGGAUUAGAUACCCGCGUAGUCCCUGUCUCUUAUAC